CAAAUCCGAUGAUGCUUCCUCAAGAAUGACUGCGCCUGGAAAAGCUGAGGCCAUCACUGCUCAUGGAGCCACCCAGACACCCAGAGAGGGUCAGGUGUGCACACACACGCAUACAUGUGUUAUGUGCACACAGACUCAUACACACACACCCUGCACUUACAUAGCCACACUCACACACCUGUCCUCCUGCACACAGUGCUGCACGGCCAAGCCUAAGCAUCCUCUCCAUUACCCAUGGACACCCAGACACACCACAGUGAUGUGGCCUCCCUAGUCCCAGGACAGCCCUCAGAGCCCUCCGUGAUUAGUCCUGCCAUGGUCCCAGCGGCCCCAGGAGCCAGCCCCCAGAUCCAUGGGGGAGGGGCCCACCCCGGCUCACAUGCCCCAGCUGCCCCUCCGCAGCCCAUGAACCUGUACUCCUGACCACCAGCCCUGAGACCCACCACCACCCACCAGUGCCCUGCCCACAUUUCACGUGGACACAGCCCUGCCUGAUACAAGCCCCGAGUCCAUUUCUCAGACAGCACAGCCCAAAAAAGAAGAAUGGCCUUGUGGUACAGUGCAAAAAUGACUACAACAUUUUGACGCUCUUCUAUCAAGAGGUGGAGUCCAAUUCUCCACAACACAUCAAGGACACAGGACAGCCCAGCCUGUGGCACAGGUGCUUUCUCACACAUCCUGCCCAGACGCCCACGGUUCCUGGUACUGUGUGUUUGCCCUCGCUGCAAAUAUGCCCGAUUUGUUCAACUACAGCUGUGUUCCUCGUGGUCUUUGGCUGGAGGGAGUUGAGAGACCCCACCUCUAUCCUGGUUCCAGCCUCGCCCCUCCUCCUGUAGCAUCCAGAAUGAACUUUCUAAGUUUCUAAAUUGCUCUGCUGGAAACCUUUCAGUGGCACCCAGGUAUGUCGGUAGCAGUUCGAUUUGGCUGACAGGACAGUGGCCCAGGGUUAAGUGGGGACUAGGAGCUCAGGCUGGUAUGCAGGCUCUCCUCCCCAGAACUCCCAGCAUAUAAAAACUAUAAAAACCCUAGAAGAAAACCUAGGAAAUACCAUUCUGGACACAAGCCCUGGCAGAGACUCCAAAAGCAAUUGGAACAAAACCAAAAAUUAACAAAUGGGACCUAAUUAAACUAAACA
rnacentral:lncRNA from 10 species